AGUGAACGCUGGCGGUAGGCCUAACACAUGCAAGUCGAACGGCAGCACAGUAAGAGUUUGCUCUUACGGGUGGCGAGUGGCGGACGGGUGAGGAAUACAUCGGAAUCUACUUUUUCGUGGGGGAUAACGUAGGGAAACUUACGCUACUACCGCAUACGACCUACGGGUGAAAGCAGUAGAUAUUCGCACCUUGCGCGAUUGAAUGAGCCGAUGUCGGAUUAGCUAGUUGGCGGGGUAAAGGCCCACCAAGGCGACGAUCCGUAGCUGGCCUGAGAGGAUGAUCGGCCACACUGGAACUGAGACACGGUCCAGACUCCUACGGGAGGCAGCAGUGGGGAAUAUUGGACAAUGGGCGAAAGCCUGAUGCAGCAAUGCCGCGUGGGUGAAGAAGGCCUUCGGGUUGUAAAGCCCUUUUGUUGGGAAAGAAAAGCAGCAGGUUAAUACCCCGCUGUUCUGACGGUACCCAAAGAAUAAGCACCGGCUAACUUCGUG
rnacentral:rRNA from 1 species